rnacentral:tRNA from 1 species
GCGGGUAUGGUGGAAUUGGUAGACACGCUAGAUUUAGGUUCUAGUGGCGCAAGCCGUGGGGGUUCAAGUCCCUCUACCCGCACCA